rnacentral:hammerhead_ribozyme from 1 species
GCACUGUUGAGGAGUCCCACAAUAGGACGAAACGCUCUUGCAGUGC